rnacentral:rRNA from 1 species
AAUGAACGCUGGCGGCGCGCCUAAUACAUGCAAGUCGAGCGAGAAGACGUAGCAAUACGUUUGUAAAGCGGCGAACGGGUGAGGAAUACAUGGGUAACCUACCCUAGAGUGGGGGAUAACUAGCCGAAAGGUUAGCUAAUACCGCGUACGCUCCUUGGACUUCGGUUCAGGGAGGAAAGCGAUGCCGAGGGUAUCGCGCUCUUGGAUGGGCUCAUGUCCUAUCAGCUUGNGGUGAGGUAACGGCUCACCAAGGCUUCGACGGGUAGCUGGUCUGAGAGGACGAUCAGCCACACUGGCACUGCGACACGGGCCAGACUCCUACGGGAGGCAGCAGUAAGGAAUAUUGCGCAAUGGGCGAAAGCCUGACGCAGCGACGCCGCGUGGGGGAU